rnacentral:rRNA from 1 species
GAUGAACGCUGGCGGUAUGCUUAACACAUGCAAGUCGAACGGUACCUUCGGGUAUAGUGGCGGACGGGUGAGUAACGCGUGAGAAUCUAUCUUCAGGUCGGGGACAACAGUUAGAAAUGACUGCUAAUACCGGAUGUGCCGAAAGGUAAAAGAUUUAUUGCCUGAAAAAGAGCUCGCGUCAGAUUAGCUAGUAGGUGGUGUAAGAGACUACCUAGGCUUCGAUCUGUAGCUGGUCUGAGAGGACGAUCAGCCACACUGGAACUGAGACACGGUCCAGACUCCUACGGGAGGCAGCGGUGGGGAAUUUUCCGCAAUGGGCGAAAGCCUGACGGAGCAAUACCGCGUGAGGGACGAAGGCUCUUGGGUCGUAAACCUCUUUUCUCAAGGAAGAUUCAGACGGUACUUGAGGAAUAAGCAUCGGCUAACUCUGUG